rnacentral:rRNA from 1 species
UGGGGAAUAUUGGACAAUGGGCGAAAGCCUGAUCCAGCCAUGCCGCGUGUGUGAAGAAGGCCUUCGGGUUGUAAAGCACUUUAAGCGAGGAGGAAGGUUCGUUACUUAAUACGUAACGGAAUUGACGUUACUCGCAGAAUAAGCACCGGCUAACUCUGUGCCAGCAGCCGCGGUAAUACAGAGGGUGCAAGCGUUAAUCGGAAUUACUGGGCGUAAAGCGCGCGUAGGCGGUUGCGUAAGUUGGAGGUGAAAUCCCCGGGCUCAACCUGGGCAUUGCCUUCAAAACUGCGCAGCUAGAGUAUUGGAGAGGAAGGCAGAAUUCCAGGUGUAGUGGUGAAAUGCGUAGAGAUCUGGAGGAAUACCGAUGGCGAAGGCAGCCUUCUGGCCAAAUACUGACGCUGAGGUGCGAAAGCAUGGGGAGCAAACAGGAUUAGAUACCCUGGUAGUCCAUGCCGUAAACGAUGUCAACUAGGUGUUGGGGAACUUGAUUCCCUAGUGCCGCAAGCUAACGCAUUAAGUUGACCGCCUGGGGAAGUACGGUCGCAAGACUAAAAACUUCAAAGGAAAUGACGGGAAGGGCGAAUCGCGCCGCUCUUAC